rnacentral:rRNA from 1 species
AAACUUUCAACAACGGAUCUCUUGGCUCUCGCAUCGAUGAAGAACGCAGCGAAAUGCGAUAAGUAAUGUGAAUUGCAGAAUUCAGUGAAUCAUCGAAUCUUUGAACGCACCUUGCACCUUUUGGUAUUCCGAAAGGUAUGCCUGUUUGAGUGUC